AGCAGUCGCCGCGGGAAUACGUAGGGUGCAAGCGUUAAUCGGAAUUACUGGGCGUAAAGCGUGCGCAGGCGGUUUGUUAAGACAGAUGUGAAAUCCCCGGGCUCAACCUGGGAACUGCAUUUGUGACUGGCAAGCUAGAGUGUGGCAGAGGGGGGUGGAAUUCCGCGUGUAGCAGUGAAAUGCGUAGAUAUGCGGAGGAACACCGAUGGCGAAGGCAGCCCCCUGGGCCAACACUGACGCUCAUGCACGAAAGCGUGGGGAGCAAACAGGAUUAGAUACCCCAGUAGUCCCUGUCUCUUAUAC
rnacentral:rRNA from 1 species